AAGAGGAGACUUAGAAACAACUGUCUCAACAGGCUAAAGACGGACAGUUUUAGUAACAGCCACAGCCUCGUCUUCCUUCCUUAUCACUUGAAAUGGUCACUUACACUUCUGCCAGAUAACACCUGUGAAAGGCAGGGGUCUCCUUCCUCUGAAUGUGUUUACUGAUUUCCUGGAGGUCACCGGGUCGUUGUUCAGUAAGAACAAGAAAGAGCUUCUGCCAGUGUUUUCCACUCUCUUCGGAAGACAGAGGAUCUUUCUCCGGGGGCUACCAUGGACUCCCAGGGUUUAGAAUAUUCAGUUCCUCAGAUCCCUGUUUAUGGUAGAAUCAUAAGACCCUGCAGAAGAUUCGCAGACACAAGAAACAGUGGCACAGAGCAUGGCCCUUUUCCUUCGUGGAGAAGCGUGCACUACCCACUCUCAGAAACCUUAGAGAUUUCAGGGAAGUCUAGCUGAUGAGGCCUCAGGCCCUGGUUCCACAGGGACAUGAAUACCUCAAGCUUUGCAGAUUGUGGAGUGACCUAGCCUGUCUACUUAGUCUGCACCAUUGAAAUUCCAUCAAUGAAGACUGACCUCUGCCAUGAUUAAAAUAAGAAGUGCUUUAAAUCAAAGAGGCCCACCCUCUUCCCGGAUCAACAGGGUCCAAGAGCAGGAAAGUGGAACUGAAUACCUGGACUAAGACCAAAGAAUGCUGCAGUGUGGACUGGGGGGAUAAAUUCCAGGCAUUUCUUCUUGCUUCCAAAUGUAACUGAAUCUCUUUUAUCUGGAAAUAUGACUUGAGUUCAUAGGAAAGAGGAAUCAGGCCAAAGCCACUUUUUGAUAUUGGGGCAUCAGAAAUACCAUAGGCACAGGCUUUUUCACAGGAUGGUAUUUCUUGUUUGGACAUCUGGCUGAUCUGCUGAAAACAUGCAUCUGUGAGAAAUACAUGGGAACAAUUUCUUUUUGAUAAAUAAGGAAAUACUUUAGUAGAGGGCUUGGAGCUGUUGCUGUAGUCCAGUCUGUGCCUACAGGUGGCAGUGCUCCUUCAUGGUUGCAGCGAUGUGGAUUUCAAUGCAUUGGAUUGUCAAUGGAAGGUGAAUUUAGGAAGUGAAAUCAAACUUCAGAAAUCUAUUUUCAGGUUUGUCUGUAGAUUGCAUUAGGGCAAGACUGGGUAAGUCUGUCUUUAUAAAAUCCACACUCUUGUGAGUACCAUAAUAAUUCUAUGGGCACCUUCAGUGGGGCUUGUUAGAACACUGAUGCUGAUGCUCCCUAAACUUAUUUUUCAAAGAACUGCUGGUUUAAUCAACAAAAUAGAAAUCACUGGAGAGAUUUAUUAAGCAUUUAACUUUUUUUUUUUUUAAAGGCAUUUAACUUCAUGUUAAGGAGUCAAAAAUACAAAAGGGUUGUGGAGUAGAAUUUCUGUAAAUUAAAUAACCAACUGGAGCUCAUGAGCCUGUGCUAGACUAGCUGUAAGAGUAACUGAUCACAGUUGGUGUGUGAUGACACUGGGCCAGCCACUGUGCUGAGGUAUUUGGAUGGUUUAACUCACGUAAAUCUAUAUAGCAACCCUACCAUUUUCUUUCAGUUCUAUGAUGCUUAAUUUUUCAUAUUUCACAGUUCUAAAAUUAGAAUAUGUUCUAAAAUAGAUGACUUCUGACAAUCCCUAUCCAUAAGGCAGAAACUGAGAUAGUAUUUGUUUGUUUGCUUUUGUUUAUUAUUAUUAUUAUUAUGUUAUUUCAAUAGGUAUUGGGGGAACAGGUGCUAUUUGGUUACACGGAUAAGUUCUUUAGUGGUGAUUUCUGAGAUUUUGGUGCAUCCAUCACCCGAGCAGUGUACACUGCACCCAGUGUGUAGUUCUUUAUCCCUCACCACCCCUGACCAUUUCCCUCAAGUCCUCAAAGGCCAUUGUAUUAUUAUUAUGCCUUUGUGUCCUCAGAGCUUAGCUCCCACUUAUGAGUGAGAACAUUUGAUGUUUC